rnacentral:lncRNA from 1 species
GCAUUCACCUGCAAAACCAUGAAACUUAGGCAACAAAUGUAUCAGUCCAAUGUUGAAAACACAACGAAUAUCCUCCUCAUCAAGUGGAAACGACUCCCUAGGAGCACUCUCAUGAGAUGGAGGAGGAAUCAUACUGUUCUCAACACAGAAAUCAGCAUGCGAAUCACAACCAGAGUAACAAGCAGGAGGAGAAUCAUAGACACAGGCAGAAAAAGAAUUACUCACACGGCCAAAAUAGGUAGACAUGUAGAAAGAAAGGAAGGGGGAAAAAAAGAAUGCAAUGAAAAUAUGCAACUAAAGCUACCUAAAUGCAACACACAAUGACGAACACACAAAAAAGAACAUCACACUCAGAACACAAGACAAAACACAACACAUACUAACACAACAAAAGACCUAAAACCGAACUGUUGGUCGCCGGCAACGACACC